CCAGUUGUUCCACCAGGAGCAUUGCUGGGUAGCUACGUUCGGUUAGGAUAAGCGCUGAAAGCAUCUAAGCGCGAAGCCGUCCCCAAGAUUAGAUCUUAGAAAUCCUUCAAGAUUAGAAGGUUGAUAGGCUCUAGGUGGAAGCUCCGCAAGGAGUGUAGCCGAGGAGUACUAAUCAU
rnacentral:rRNA from 1 species